CCAGGAUAAGCGUCGUUGGGGCAGGUCCUGGGUAGAGUCCAGGUUGGCGGGUCCUGGGGCGGAGUCAGGAUAGGGCGAUCCUGGAAGCUGGGCUUCAGAAGCGUCCAGGGUCUCUCUCUCUGCCACCCAGGCCAGAGUGCAGUUGACGCAGGGCAGGGGAGCCCCGAAGUGGAGCAUAGUGUGUCCGGAACUGGUGGGUUCUUGGUCUCACUGACUUCAAGAAUGAAGCCGUGGACCCUCACGGUUCAAGCGAUUCUCCUGCCUCAGCCUCC
rnacentral:lncRNA from 1 species